UAGCUAGUUGGUGAGGUAAGGGCUCACCAAGGCGACGAUCCCUAGCUGGUCUGAGAGGAUGAUCAGCCACACUGGAACUGAGACACGGUCCAGACUCCUACGGGAGGCAGCAGUGGGGAAUAUUGCACAAUGGGCGCAAGCCUGAUGCAGCCAUGCCGCGUGUGUGAAGAAGGCCUUCGGGUUGUAAAGCACUUUCAGUCGUGAGGAAGGUAGUGUAGUUAAUAGCGGCAUUAUUUGACGUUAGCGACAGAAGAAGCACCGGCUAACUCCGUGCCAGCAGCCGCGGUAAUACGGAGGGUGCGAGCGUUAAUCGGAAUUACUGGGCGUAAAGCGCAUGCAGGUGGUUUGUUAAGUCAGAUGUGAAAGCCCGGGGCUCAACCUCGGAAUAGCAUUUGAAACUGGCAGACUAGAGUACUGUAGAGGGGGGUAGAAUUUCAGGUGUAGCGGUGAAAUGCGUAGAGAUCUGAAGGAAUACCGGUGGCGAAGGCGGCCCCCUGGACAGAUACUGACACUCAGAUGCGAAAGCGUGGGGAGCAAACAGGAUUAGAUACCCUGGUAGUCCACGCCGUAAACGAUGUCUACUUGGAGGUUGUGGCCUUGAGCCGUGGCUUUCGGAGCUAACGCGUUAAGUAGACCGCCUGGGGAGUACGGUCGCAAGAUUAAAACUCAAAUGAAUUGACGGGGGCCCGCACAAGCGGUGGAGCAUGUGGUUUAAUUCGAUGCAACGCGAAGAACCUUACCUACUCUUGACAUCCAGAGAACUUUCCAGAGAUGGAUUGGUGCCUUCGGGAACUCUGAGACAGGUGC
rnacentral:rRNA from 1 species